UAAUUUAAUGGCCAUUGUGUCUGACAGAAAAAUGAUAUAUGAGCAGAAGAUAGCAGAGUUACAAAGACAACUUGCAGAGGAACCCAUGGAUACAGAUCAAGGUAAUAGUAUGUUAAGUGCUAUUCAGUCAGAAGUUGCCAAAAAUCAGAUGCUUAUUGAAGAAGAAGUACAGAAAUUAAAAAGAUACAAGAUUGAGAAUAUCAGAAGGAAGCAUAAUUAUCUGCCUUUCAUUAUGGAAUUGUUAAAGACUUUAGCAGAACACCAGCAGUUAAUACCACUAGUAGAAAAGAUAUUCUGAUAUAGGGGAAGGAUUCUUUAAUAAGUUCCCCAAGUGAUUCUAAUGCAACUGGUCUGUGUACCACAGUUUGAGAAACACUUUGAGAAGACACUACUAGGCAAAUAAAAUUUUGG
rnacentral:lncRNA from 10 species